rnacentral:lncRNA from 1 species
CUUGUUUGAGAUCUAUUUUUUUAUCAAAAUACAUUUUUCGACAGUGAUUUGACAUCAUUUUAACCCCAUAUUUUUCAAUAAAAUAAUAUUACACACAAACUCAAAACUUUUCCUUAUUUUUUAACCACACACUCUACAUCAUGACAGUAUUUCAAAAUGCAUUUUUCUAAAAAAAAAUAGGGCUCAAACAACCCCUAAAUAAAUACAAUAUUAAUAAUCAAUCAAAAAUAUAAUACUAAUAAUCAAUCAAAAUUAAUUCUCUCUCUCUCUAAUUACUUAAGUCCCCUGGCUACAACAUUACGGGCGCUCAUCGUCAUCACCAGAGACACCAUCAUUACAAUCCAACACAGGCCACAACCUCACAGCACCGCGCACUCAUCGCCUUUUCCUUGAAUCAGCGAUGCUCAUAGCCUUCUUCUUUUUCCCUCUUAAGUUUGAUUUUCGAUGGUUUCUUUUGUGCUAUUUGUGAUGAUUUGGGGUGUUGAUCACCAUUUUGCAAAGUAGGCAACGAUGAUGGGAGGAUGGUAUGGAGUGCUGCAUAUUGGGACAGGCGUUCGGGUUGCGGAUCUGUAGGCGGUGCUGUGGAUCUCCCCACUACUUUAUUUCACCCAUUCCGGGACUUCUCAUGGCGCUCACUCCGGCGACUAGCAUGGUGCAGAUCCAUUUUUCUUCCUUUUUAAAAUUUUUUUUUUUGAGUGGUAGAGGUGUUCAAUUUGGUGGUCGGAAUGGAGAGCUUUGGUGGGGGUGACAGUGAUAUGCUACCGUGUUGCUAUGGGUGCACUGGUGGUUCUGUGAUGCGGCGGAGGUCAUGUGUGAUGUGGUGGUAGGAAUGGAAAGCUCUGGUGGGUGCAACGAUGGUGUGCAGCUAUGUUGUUGUGGGUGAGUUUGUGGUAUUGUAGGUGUGAUGGUUGGAUGCGUGUGGUAUGUGGUGUAGUAUUGUGUACGAUGGUGUGGCGGUGUUGGCUCUGACAGUGUGCAGUGGUGUUGACUAAUUAUUGUGAUGUGAAAGGGAUGGCUCUAGCCGUGGUGGUGUUUGACGAAGGUGUGGUGGUGAGGUAAUAUUCACAAAAUGGUGGUGUGGUCUCAAAUUAUUUGGUUGAUUGUGAUCAAUAAAUUUGUUAAUUUGUGAUCAAUUCUUUGAUGUUGUGACUAAUAAAGUGGAUAUUUCGUGGCUAAUAAAUAAUGCAUGAUAGAUAAUUUGUGAUCAACAAAUAGUAUGUGACAUAAAGAUUUGUGGCUUGACUUAUUUUACUUGUCAUUUGUGAUCAAUAAAUGAAUUGUGAUAUAUAAAUUUUUUGAUUUGUG